GAGUGGCGGACGGGUGAGUAACGCGUGGGUAACCUACCCUGUACAGGGGGAUAACAGUCAGAAAUGACUGCUAAUACCGCAUAAGACCACAGCACCGCAUGGUGCAGGGGUAAAAACUCCGGUGGUACAGGAUGGACCCGCGUCCGAUUAGCUAGUUGGUGAGGUAACGGCCCACCAAGGCGACGAUCGGUAGCCGGACUGAGAGGUUAAACGGCCACAUUGGGACUGAGACACGGCCCAGACUCCUACGGGAGGCAGCAGUGGGGAAUAUUGCACAAUGGGGGAAACCCUGAUGCAGCGACGCCGCGUGGAGGAAGAAGGUCUUCGGAUUGUAAACUCCUGUUGUUGAGGAAGAUAAUGACGGUACUCAACAAGGAAGUGACGGCUAACUACGUGCCAGCAGCCGCGGUAAAACGUAGGUCACAAGCGUUGUCCGGAAUUACUGGGUGUAAAGGGAGCGCAGGCGGGAGAACAAGUUGGAAGUGAAAUCCAUGGGCUCAACCCAUGAACUGCUUUCAAAACUGUUUUUCUUGAGUAGUGCAGAGGUAGGCGGAAUUUCCGGUGUAGCGGUGGAAUGCGUAGAUAUCGGGGGGAACACCAGUGGCGAAGGCGGCCUACUGGGCACCAACUGACGCUGAGGCUCGAAAGUGUGGGUAGCAAACAGGAUUAGAUACCCUGGUAGUCCACACCGUAAACGAUGAUUACUAGGUGUUGGAGGAUUGACCCCUUCAGUGCCGCAGUUAACACAAUAAGUAAUCCACCUGGGGAGUACGACCGCAAGGUUGAAACUCAAAGGAAUUGACGGGGGCCCGCACAAGCAGUGGAGUAUGUGGUUUAAUUCGAAGCAACGCGAAGAACCUUACCAGGCCUUGACAU
rnacentral:rRNA from 1 species